GUAGUCUCGCACAGAUGCAUAUCAAUAAGCGGAGGAAAAGAAACUAACAAGGAUUCCCCUAGUAACGGCGAGUGAAGCGGGAAGAGCUCAAAUUUGAAAUCUUAAAGGGUUUCCCUUUACGAAUUGUAGUUUAAAGAAGUGUUUUCUGUUGAGGUUUUGGUAAAAGUUCUUUGGAAUAGGACAUCAUAGAGGGUGAGAAUCCCGUAUUUGACCUUUACUUUCAACUUUGUGAUACACUUUCAAAGAGUCGGAUUGUUUGGGAAUGCAGUCCAAAAUGGGUGGUAAAUUCCAUCUAAAGCUAAAUAUUGGCGAGAGACCGAUAGCGAACAAGUACCGUGAGGGAAAGAUGAAAAGAACUUUGAAAAGAGAGUUAAACAGUACGUGAAAUUGUCAAAAGGGAAGCGUUUGACACCAGUGUUGUUUUUCUGAAAAUCAAUUAAAGAACUGUUUAUGCUAAGCUGUUUAGACUUUAUCAGCUAUCUGUUUAGUUUUGAGCUUUUCUUUAAUGCACUUUUCAGUUAACAAGUCAACAUCAAUUUCUUUUGCUGUAAAAAAGCUUGAGGAAGGUGGCUUGAGAUUCGUCUUAAGUGUUUAUAGCCUCUUGCCUAUGCAGUCGGAGAGAUUGAGGUCUGCAGCGUAGAUCCUUCGGGGCUAAAUGCAUUUGUGCUAAGUUAUAACAUUUUAUAGACAACUUGUUGACUAUGGAUUUGUCUUGUAGCUUACUCGCUUAUGUUAUUUUACCUACGCUUAGGAUGUUGAUCUGUAGUGCGUGCGC
rnacentral:rRNA from 1 species